AUCCAUCAGGGAAGCACGCGCCUGUGC
rnacentral:piRNA from 1 species